GACGAACGCUGGCGGCGUGCUUAACACAUGCAAGUCGUACGGUAAGGCCCUUUCUGGGGUACACGAGUGGCGAACGGGUGAGUAACACGUGAGUAACCUGCCCACAACUUUGGGAUAACGCUAGGAAACUGGUGCUAAUACUGGAUAUGUGCUCCUGCUGCAUGGUGGGGGUUGGAAAGCUCCGGCGGUUGUGGAUGGACUCGCGGCCUAUCAGCUUGUCGGUGGGGUAGUGGCCUACCAAGGCGGCGACGGGUAGCCGGCCUGAGAGGGUGACCGGCCACAUUGGGACUGAGAUACGGCCCAGACUCCUACGGGAGGCAGCAGUGGGGAAUAUUGCACAAUGGGCGCAAGCCUGAUGCAGCAACGCCGCGUGCGGGAUGACGGCCUUCGGGUUGUAAACCGCUUUCAGCAGGGACGAAGCUUUUUGUGACGGUACCUGCAGAAGAAGCACCGGCUAACUACGUG
rnacentral:rRNA from 1 species